rnacentral:ncRNA from 7 species
CUAAGGAGUGUGUAACAACUCACCUGCC